rnacentral:rRNA from 1 species
UACGUAGGGUGCAAGCGUUAUUCGGAAUUACUGGGCGUAAAGCGUGCGCAGGCGGUUUUGUAAGGCAGAUGUGAAAUGCCCGGGCUUAACCUGGGAACUGCAUUUGUGACUGCAUGGCUAGAGUUUGGCAGAGGGGGGUAGAAUUCCACGUGUAGCAGUGAAAUGCGUAGAUAUGUGGAGGAGCACCGAUGGCGAAGGCAGCCCCCUGGGUCAAGACUGACGCUCAUGCACGAAAGCGUGGGGAGCAAACAGG